GCUGAACGCUGGCGGCAGGCCUGACACAUGCAAGUCGAACGGUAACAGGAAACAGCUUGCUGUUUCGCUGACGAGUGGCGGACGGGUGAGUAAUGUCUGGGAAACUGCCUGAUGGAGGGGGAUAACUACUGGAAACGGUAGCUAAUACCGCAUAACGUCGCAAGACCAAAGAGGGGGACCUUCUGGCCUCUUGCCAUCGGCUGUGCCCAGAUGGGAUUAGCUUGCUGGUGGGGUAACGGCUCACCAAGGCGGCGAUCCCUAGCUGGUCGGAGACGAGGACCGGCCACACGGGAACUGCGAGACGGGCCAGCCCCCUACGUGAGCCAUCAGUGGGGAAUAUUACACGAUGGGCGCAAGCCGGAUGAAGCCAUGCCGCGUGUAUGAAGAAGGCCUUCGGGUUGUAAAGUACUUGCAGCGGGGAAGAAGGGAGUAAAGUUAAUACCUUUACUCAUUGACGUUACCCGCAGAAGAAGCGCCGGCUAACUCCGUGCCAGCCGCCGCCGUAA
rnacentral:rRNA from 1 species